GACGAACGCUGGCGGCGUGCUUAACACAUGCAAGUCGAACGAUGAAGCGGUGCUUGCACCGUGGAUUAGUGGCGAACGGGUGAGUAAUACGUGAGUGACCUACCUUUGACUCUGGGAUAAGCCUGGGAAACUGGGUCUAAUACCGGAUACGACCAAUCUCUGCAUGGGGUGUUGGCGGAAAGCGUUAUGGAGUGGUUUUAGAUGGGCUCACGGCCUAUCAGCUUGUUGGUGAGGCAAUGGCUUACCAAGGCGACGACGGGUAGCCGGCCUGAGAGGGUGACCGGCCACACUGGGACUGAGACACGGCCCAGACUCCUACGGGAGGCAGCAGUGGGGAAUAUUGCACAAUGGGCGCAAGCCUGAUGCAGCGACGCCGCGUGAGGGAUGACGGCCUUCGGGUUGUAAACCUCUGUUAGCAUCGAAGAAGCGAAAGUGACGGUAGGUGCAGAGAAAGCGCCGGCUAACUACGUGCCAGCAGCCGCGGUAAUACGUAGGGCGCGAGCGUUGUCCGGAAUUAUUGGGCGUAAAGAGCUUGUAGGCGGUUGGUCGCGUCUGCUGUGAAGGCCGGGGCUUAACUCCGGUUUUGCAGUGGGUACGGGCUAACUAGAGUGCAGUAGGGGAGACUGGAAUUCCUGGUGUAGCGGUGGAAUGCACAGAUAUCAGGAGGAACACCGAUGGCGAAGGCAGGUCUCUGGGCUGUAACUGACGCUGAGAAGCGAAAGCAUGGGGAGCGAACAGGAUUAGAUACCCUGGUAGUCCAUGCCGUAAGCGUUGGGCACUAGGUGUGGGGGACAUUCCACGUUUUCCGCGCCGUAGCUAACGCAUUAAGUGCCCCGCCUGGGGAGUACGGCCGCAAGGCUAAAACUCAAAGGAAUUGACGGGGGCCCGCACAAGCGGCGGAGCAUGCGGAUUAAUUCGAUGCAACGCGAAGAACCUUACCAAGGCUUGACAUGCAUUAGAUCGCGUCAGAGAUGGCGUUUCCCUUCGGGGCUGGUGUACAGGUGGUGCAUGGUUGUCGUCAGCUCGUGUCGUGAGAUGUUGGGUUAAGUCCCGCAACGAGCGCAACCCUCGUUCUAUGUUGCCAGCGGUUCGGCCGGGGACUCAUAGGAGACUGCCGGGGUCAACUCGGAGGAAGGUGGGGAUGACGUCAAAUCAUCAUGCCCCUUAUGUCUUGGGCUUCACGCAUGCUACAAUGGCCGGUACAGAGGGUUGCGAUACUGUGAGGUGGAGCUAAUCCCUUAAAGCCGGUCUCAGUUCGGAUUGGGGUCUGCAACUCGACCCCAUGAAGUCGGAGUCGCUAGUAAUCGCAGAUCAGCAACGCUGCGGUGAAUACGUUCCCGGGCCU
rnacentral:rRNA from 1 species